rnacentral:rRNA from 1 species
UAAUACAGAGGGUGCGAGCGUUAAUCGGAAUUACUGGGCGUAAAGCGCGCGUAGGCGGCUUUGCAAGUCGGGUGUGAAAUCCCCAGGCUUAACCUGGGAACUGCAUUCGAGACUGCAUUGCUAGAGUAUGGGAGAGGGAAGUGGAAUUUCCGGUGUAGCGGUGAAAUGCGUAGAUAUCGGAAGGAACAUCAGUGGCGAAAGCGACUUCCUGGACCAAUACUGACGCUCAUGUGCGAAAGCGUGGGGAGCAAACAGGA